UAGAGGGCAGCCGCCGAGCGGGCGGAAACAAACGUGGGUUAUUGAUCCCUUGCGUCUCUGGAGGACUCGGAGGAACGCGCUUGAGACAAAGGCGUGCAGUGCGAGCCUGUAAAUACAUCUACUCAGAAUGAUUCCUGCAUACUUCUACCACACUUGCCCAGAUGUGGAGAAUUCUGCAAUUGGCAGCUGGGAGUGAGACCUGUGUGGAUAUCCUUUUUAAAAGAUCCUAGUUUGAAACCUCUUCUGUUUAGAAUUUCCCACCUUUCUAAAUAUUGUAAACAAUAUUUUCAUUCUA